UUAAUUUUUUUUUUUUAUUUAAGUUUUCAUACAAAUUGUCUAAUUUAAUGUAAAUGUAAGGCGGUAUGAACGAAGGCAGUACCACCGUGAGAUUGGAACACUUGGUAAUUUACACCUUUAUUUGAAAAAAGGCAUAAAAAAGAACUUUGUGAAGGGACUUGUGCGGCAGUGGACUGCGCAUGUGUAUUUCUAUCCCUUCCAAUGUAACAUGUUUCAACGUUCCUCAUUCUAGUGCGUGCUGUUUUAAGUUUCGUUUGCCUCUUCAGAGAAUUACCAACUGUUCAGCUUGAAAUAUCAAAGAUUAACGAUAUAUAUUAAUAACAAAUAUGUCAUAAUUUUUAACUUAUAUUGUGCAAUAUACUUACUGCUUUGUAAGUAUUGCCUUUUGUAUUUUCCUAUACAAUUAAGAGUUAGUCCUUACAAUACAUAGAAAUUAUCAAUUACCUAAUUGUUUGUGUAGUUUAUGGCAUAUAAUUUGCGAUUAAUUAGUUUCUUCUUUAUCAUUAUUUUACUCUACUCUUAACUGAUCAGUUUUGUGUUAAUUUUGCGUAGAAUGAAGAAGAGUGAAAUACGAUAUUGCGGUACUCAUCAACUAUAAUAAGAAUUGAUUUUUCUAUUCUCUUUUAAAUUAUGUCUCGUUUAACACAUAUUUUGAAAUGUACAUAGUUUCUUACUGUAGCAGCAUUUUCUAACGAUCCAGUCAUUAAUCCAUCAAGAUUCAAAGUAAAUGCCUUGUUACCUCUUUGCAAGAGAAAUAAUAGCAUCUUUUGUACUUGCAACGGAGCUACGUACCACUGAACGUUAUAUCUAAAUUAUGUAAUGAAUUAAUGACUCAAAAAUAUAAAGAAAUAAAUGUAUAAGUUUACCAUUUGUUUUUUGACUUAACUACAUUAACUCUAUAUUUGAUUGCGUCGAUCUAUAUGAGAAAUGCACUCAUGCAUUUAUAUAAAUAUUGUUCUUACACGGUGACAAAUACUUUGUUAUUGUUAUCCAUAAUUUCUUGCCAAAAAUAGUUGCAUAGGAUUAUAUAAUUGACAUCGAUGAUACAAAAUAUUACGUGUAGAAUAAGUUCCGCAGCAUCAUGUCUAUUUGAUAUUAACUGGAAAGUCUAAAGUAUAAACUCAUUCAAGAUCUUGCACUAACAAAAACUUUUUGCAAUUAAAAGAACAUAUUGUAUUGAAAUUAAUUAUUUUUACUUAAAUAUUUAUUUGGUUUAAAAAUAUUUUAUUUUUCUUAAUAUUAUUAUUAUUUGUCUGUGGAAAAUAGACUUUUUUUAAGGUCAAAUGUGAAAUAUUUUAAAAUAAAGACAUAUUUAUUUAAGAACAAUAUAGGUGGAAUAUACAUACACAGGUAUGACACAAGAAUAAUAUAUAAUAAUAAUAAAAUAGAUUUUUUAAUUAGAUAGAAAUUUUUUUAUUUUAUAAAAAUUACUUUUGAUAUAAAAUCAUUUAUUUCUUUUUGUGCAAACAAAAUUUUUUAAAUAUUUUUAUAUAUUUUUUUAAUAAGAGUACGUUGACCAUUAUAUGAUGAACACAAAUAAUUGACAAGUCCUAACCUUGUCUGGUUAAAUUGGUUCUGGGUGCUGAAAUAAUAUUUUGUGCACGAUUUUACAUACAAUUUCUAAUUCUUUCAAAUUGUGCCCCGUUACUUUUCAUUUCAAAUAACUCUUAAAUUAAAUUAAUGGUAAUAUCUAUGAAUUAAAUUGAUUUAUUUAAUUUUAUAGAUGCUACGAAGCAUCUCUAUGAUCCGUUUUUCUCUAUUCCAAAAAAACUGUAAAUUCUUUUUUGAUUAAAUUAAAUUUGAUAACUUUAAAAAUAAACAUUGACACAUUUUUAUUAAAUAUAUAUCUUCCUAAUUUUAUUUAAAAUACUCUUUUAUAUAAGUAAAGUUUUUUGCUUUUUAUAUAACUGUUUUUUAUUUAUUACAAUAUGCAAUUACAUAAUAGUUUUGCAGAUAUUCAAAUAAAUUAUCUUUUUAUAUUCAGUUAAAAUGUUUUCGAAUUAAAAAAUUUUUUUUUCUGUGUUCUAAAAGUUAAGUGAGAUAUUAAUUUCAAACGACGAUUACUUAGAACUAUUAAUGAAAAUAUAAUGACUUCUUUUAUUAUUGUUAUUUAUACGUAUAAGAUAAAGACAAAAAAUAUUUACCCGAAACAAAUUAAUGGAUGUAGUUGUCAUUCCAUCUACCAACAUAUAGUAUACCAAUACUUUAAUCUUAGCUAGUAUCAUUUGAGAGAAUCUUCAAAAGAAGUAUAAUGUUAUUUUAUUUAUAUACUACACUUGUUAUCUAUUAUUAUAUAUUUUUUAUUAUAACUAUCUUACAAAUACUAACUCCAUGGCUUUGCGAUGCAUGUCCACGGCACAAAUUAAUUCUUUAUAAAUUAAUUUCUUUUUCUCCAAGUUACUUUUUUUCGUUAAAAUUUGAAAUGUCAUGGCUUGUUCGAUACGGUAACUGAAAAAUAAUUCUUCUGCCAUAAUUACACAAUUUUUUUAGUUUUUCUAUAUUUCUAUAUUUUCUUUAUUUUUCAUAUUUGUUUUUAAUAUUGUACCUGGCAUAUUCUAAACAUUCCGCACGCAUAUUGCAAGUAAUCUAUAUUCCUCCUAUCGCUAAUGCUGCAGUAGACCCUAUGAUAAGAGCCACAGUUGCGUGAAAUAAUAUUAAAUAAAAUAUUUUUUCUGACCGACGAAAUAUUCAGUCAUAAGCGGCAAUAAGGGAUGUGAUCGUGUUUCGUUUAUGGGAAAUAGGAUAUCGAAAAUUUUCGUAUAAAGUGCAUAGGAAGUUAACAUAAUUACGGCAAGUAUAACAACUGUUGGAAUAAGUAAAUCGGUAGUGCAGAGUGAGACACACUAUUAUGGGUACAAAGUAUAUAUAUUUGAUAAUGAAACAAAGAUGUUUAGAAAUGCACGCAGCAGCGUGUGUAUACGUGGGUACAAGAAGACGCGGAAAAAGAAA